rnacentral:rRNA from 1 species
UGGGACAUCAGAAACAGCAACAUUAUAGAGUUCGAUUCUGGCUCAGAUUGAACGCUGGCGGGAUGCUUUACACAUGCGUAAGUCGAACGGCAGCACGGAUUCCCUGGUCUGGUGGCGAGCGAACUGCGAGUACGUAUCGGAACGUGCCUAGGUAGCGGGGACAACGGCGAAAGCGGCUAUUACCGUACGCCGCCCUUCGGGGGAAAGCGGGGACCUUCGGGCCUCGCACUAGGGGAGCGGCCGAUAUCGGGAUUAGCUAUUGGUGGGGGUAACGGCUCACCAAGCGUUAUCGAUCCGGCUGGUUUGAGAGGACGACUCAGCCACACCUGGGAUUGAGACACGGCCCCGCGACUCCUAUGGAGGCAGCAGUGGAACUUCUGGAUAAUGGGGAAACCCUGAUCCAGCCAUCCUGAACGUGCGAUGAAGGCCUUCGUUUGUAAAGCACUUUUGGUGCAGGAAAGAAACGGCACGGGAUAAUACCCCGUGCAACUGACGGUACUCUUGCAGGAAUGCGCACCGGCCAACUACGUGCCAGCAGCCGCGGUAAUACGUAGGGUGCAAGUGUUAAUCGGAAUUACUGGCGCAGCGUGGUGCAGGUGUUCGGAAAGAAAGAUGUGGAAUCCCAGAGCUUAACUUUGGAACCGCAUUUUUAACUACCGAGUUUGAGUGUGUCAGAGGGAGGUGGAAUUCCGCGUGUGGCAGCAGUCGCGUAGAUAUGCGAGGAACACCAUGGCGAAGCAGCUUCCUGAUAACACUGACGCCCGCACGAAAGCGUGGGGAGCAAACAGGAUUAGACAAUUCUGGCAGUCCACGCCCUAAACGAUGUCAACUAGCUGUUGGGGCCUCGGCCCGGUAGCGCAGCUAAUGCGUGAAGUUGACCGGCCUGGGGAGUACGGUCGCAAGAUUAAAACUCAAAGGAACGACGGGGACUCGCACAAGCGGUGGAUGAUGUGGAUUAAUUCGAUGCAACACGAAAACCUUACCUACCUCGACAUGUCUGAACCGAAGACUUGGGAGUGCUCGCAAGAGAACCGGAACACAGGUGUCACGCUGUCGUCAGCUCGUGUCGUGCAGAUGUUGGGUUAAGUCCGCAACGAGCGCAACCCUUUGCCGCUUGCUGCUACGAAAGGGCACCCAUCGAGACUGCCGUGACAAACCGGAGGGCGGUGUAGACGACGUCAAGUCCUCAUGGCCCCUUAGCGGGUAGGGCUUCACGUCAUACAAUGUGCCCGGACAGAGGGUCGCCAACCGCGAGGGGGUUUAAUCCCCAGAAACCUGAUCGUAUCCGGACUGCAGUCUGCAACUCGACUGCGUAAAGUUCGGAAUCGCUAGUAAUUUGACUCAGCAUGUCGCGGUGAAUACGUUCCCGGGUCUUGUACACACCGCCCGUCACACCAUGUGGAGUGGGUUUUACCAGCGUAGUUAGCCUAACCGGGUGAGGGCGAUUACUACGUAGGAUUCAUGACUGGGGUGAAAUGUAAUACAG